CAGCCGCCGCGGUAAUACAGAGGAUGCAAGCGUUAUCCGGAAUGAUUGGGUGUAAAGCGUCUGUAGGUGGCUUUUCAAGUCCGCCAUCAAAUCCCCGGGCUCAACCCUGGACAGGCAGUGGAAACUACCAAGCUGGAGUACGGUAGGGGCAGAGGGAAUUUCCGGUGGAGAGGUGAAAUGCGUUGUGAUUGGAAAGAACACCAACGGUGAAAGCGCUCUGCUGGGCCGACACUGACACUGAGAGACGAAAUCUAGGGGAGCAAAUGGGAUUAGAUACCCCCGUAGUCCCUGUCUCUUAUAC
rnacentral:rRNA from 1 species